rnacentral:rRNA from 1 species
UACGUAGGGUGCGAGCGUUAAUCGGAAUUACUGGGCGUAAAGCGUGCGCAGGCGGUUUUGUAAGCCAGAUGUGAAAGCCCCGGGCUUAACCUGGGAAUGGCAUUUGGGACUGCAAGGCUAGAGUGCGGCAGAGGAGACUGGAAUUCCUGGUGUAGCAGUGAAAUGCGUAGAUAUCAGGAGGAAUACCGAUGGCGAAGGCAGGAUCUCUGGGCGUGACACUGACGCUCAUGCACGAAAGCGUGGGGAGCAAACAGG